rnacentral:tRNA from 1 species
GCGGGAUUAGCUCAUUUGGAUAGAGCGUCGCCCUCCGGAGGCGAAGGUGGCACGUUCGAAUCGUGUAUCCCGCG